rnacentral:tRNA from 1 species
UCCCUGGAGGACUAGUGGUUAGCCACAGUGCUCUCACUGCUGUGGCCCGGGUUCGAUUCCCGGCCCGGGAU